UUCCGUUACGUGCCCUACGAGCGAAGAUAUUGCGAUGCAAAGUCCAAAUGUGGAAAAUUUUUUUUUAAGAAACGUCCACGUCGGACAAAAAUGGCGGCUGGUGUGUCACUUUCCCAUUUUUGACACGAGAGUGCAUUCGUGCACUGUCGCAGUGCGUGACACUGACAGUGACAGUUUUUUACAACCUAGAAAAGGAUAAGUGUAAAGUGUGUGAUAGUCGUGACCGUUGCCGCGUCGUGACAGAUAGUGAAAUGAAAUAUAUAUAAGUAUUGACCGUAGAGAGCUGAUGCCGAUAGAUCUUUAAGAAGGAAGGUGUAUCUACAAAAUCGUACAAACACAGAGAUGUCGAGGAGAUCUUUAAAAGAAGGAAGGUAUAUUCAAAAUGGCACACUGCUCUGAAUGUCAUCUAGUCAUACAUAUCAAGAACUUUCGAUGGGCUUCUUCAGAAGAUAGGAUAUGAA